AUGAAACCGAUAUGGGAGCAGGAGGACAAAGAAGCAGUAGCUGCGGGUGGGAAACCGACCUUUAGUGAAAUUAGGGGCGAAUGCGCUAGAGACUACUUGCAGGCACAUGCAAGAAGGCGUGAUGAUGAGACUUAUUACUUUGAAAACUCACAUGACGGAAAACUGUAUCGCGUGAUGUUAAAGGCUUCUGAGAUCCUUGGAAGGUUCUACAGAAACUCAGGGCCAUGUGACAUUAUGUCCGAUGCUCUGGAAACAAGAGAGCCCCCUAGUCGUGCAAGGGGUAUAGGUGUUAAUGUCCUGCACAAGAGGGCUUUCACACUCAGCAAAGAAGAGAGGCUCAGCAUGAAAAAAGUGAGGAGUGAAAUGAAGCAGAAUGAAUUCUAUGAAAGGUUGAGGAAGGACAUGUAUUCGACUGUUCUAAAGGAAAUUGAGGAGUCAAUGAUGAUGCAGAAGACUCUAACACUGACAGAUAGCCAGCAGAUGGGAGGGGAGGCGGGCAUGGAGGAUGCUGGUUAUUGCGCGACAACACCGCACAAGAGUAGAUGUGCAUCAGCUGACCCUGGCGACACUGAGACUGUAGCUACUCAUGAUGAUGCUAUAUCUGAUCUAUCUAGAAUGAAAGACACACUAAAGGGCGUGCUUACACAUUAUGAAGGUACAUUAAAAUAUGCAACAACCUGGGUUUGCCCACCCUACUUGGAAGAGGGCCUCUUGUUGGACAAUGUGCCAUUGAAGCCGAGCUGUGUGAAGUGCUACGUGACUGAAGUAAAGCCUGGAUUCAAUGAAUUUUCCCUGAAGAAUGUCCUAGGGGACUUUAAUGAGCAUAGGACCUUGGGAGAAACACUGUUACAUCACAUCCAGUGGCCACAAAAGGAAAUAGACUUCAUGGAUGUGAUCCCUGACGCCCCGCCAAGAGCAACCAAUGUCGCCCUUCAAUCGGUGACACUCUCCUUGCCACAACAGCUCUUGUGUGCUUCCCCCAAGGAACGUAAUACUCGUAAUCCAAUGGCUGAUGCAUCAACCUGUGUCAGCUUGCCCGACUUUGUGCCAUACAUGCCAUGUCAUCAUCCGCCCCAGAGCAGCCAGUGGCAAGGCCUACAACUGCUGAAGACGCACCACCAGUUCAUAUGCCGCUGA
rnacentral:rRNA from 1 species